rnacentral:rRNA from 1 species
GUCGAGCGGACAGAUGGGAGCUUGCUCCCUGAUGUUAGCGGCGGACGGGUGAGUAACACGUGGGUAACCUGCCUGUAAGACUGGGAUAACUCCGGGAAACCGGGGCUAAUACCGGAUGGUUGUUUGAACCGCAUGGUUCAGACAUAAAAGGUGGCUUCGGCUACCACUUACAGAUGGACCCGCGGCGCAUUAGCUAGUUGGUGAGGUAACGGCUCACCAAGGCGACGAUGCGUAGCCGACCUGAGAGGGUGAUCGGCCACACUGGGACUGAGACACGGCCCAGACUCCUACGGGAGGCAGCAGUAGGGAAUCUUCCGCAAUGGACGAAAGUCUGACGGAGCAACGCCGCGUGAGUGAUGAAGGUUUUCGGAUCGUAAAGCUCUGUUGUUAGGGAAGAACAAGUGCCGUUCAAAUAGGGCGGCACCUUGACGGUACCUAACCAGAAAGCCACGGCUAACUACGUGCCAGCAGCCGCGGUAAUACGUAGGUGGCAAGCGUUGUCCGGAAUUAUUGGGCGUAAAGGGCUCGCAGGCGGUUUCUUAAGUCUGAUGUGAAAGCCCCCGGCUCAACCGGGGAGGGUCAUUGGAAACUGGGGAACUUGAGUGCAGAAGAGGAGAGUGGAAUUCCACGUGUAGCGGUGAAAUGCGUAGAGAUGUGGAGGAACACCAGUGGCGAAGGCGACUCUCUGGUCUGUAACUGACGCUGAGGAGCGAAAGCGUGGGGAGCGAACAGGAUUAGAUACCCUGGUAGUCCACGCCGUAAACGAUGAGUGCUAA